rnacentral:rRNA from 1 species
UACGUAGGUGGCGAGCGUUGUCCGGAUUUACUGGGCGUAAAGGGCGCGUAGGCGGCGCGGGAAGUCCGUGGUGAAAGCCCGAGGCUCAACUUCGGGUCGGCCAUGGAUACUCCUGGGCUCGAGCACUGUAGAGGCAGGUGGAAUUCCGGGUGUAGCGGUGGAAUGCGUAGAGAUCCGGAAGAACACCGGUGGCGAAGGCGGCCUGCUGGGCAGUAGCUGACGCUGAGGCGCGACAGCGUGGGGAGCAAACAGG